rnacentral:rRNA from 1 species
CCUACGGGGAGGCAGCAGUGGGGAAUAUUGGGCAAUGGGCGAAAGCCUGACCCAGCAACGCCGCGUGAAGGAAGAAGGCUUUCGGGUUGUAAACUUCUUUUGCCAGGGAAGAGCAGAAGACGGUACCUGUCGACUAAGCCACGGCUAACUACGUGCCCGCAGCCGCGGUAAUACGUAGGUGGCAAGCGUUUUCCGGAUUUACUGGGUGUAAAGGGCGUGUAGCCGGGCUGACAAGUCCGAUGUGAAAUCCGGGGGCUCAACCCCAGAACUACAUUUGAAACUGUUGGUCUUGAGUAUCGGAGAGGUGGGCGGAAUUCCUGGUGUAGCGGUGAAAUGCUUAGAUAUUAGGAGGAACACCAGUGGCGAAGGCGGCCUGCUGGACGGCAACUGACGGUGAGGCGCGAAAGCGUGGGGAGCAAACAGGAUUAGAUACCCUUGUAGUC